CCUCCCCUGCCCCCUCAGCCUGCGGGCAGCAGAAGGCGGCGGCCAGCCUCCUCCUGCCCCUCGGCCGGACGAACCGCGGCUGCCGCGCCUGUCACCUCUGCACCUGCCCGGCUGAGGUGAGAUGCCUGGCGCGCAAGAAAAAUCUGAAAUUUGAAACAGAAAUGGCCACAUAAGGACAACUCAGAUGAAGUGCAGGCGGGCUGACAUCGCGCACUUGGGUCUUUCCGGGAAAGACAGCCGCGCUCUGGGAGAAGCCUAGUCCUCCGGCUUGUCCCCGGACCCGCCCCAAAGGCCGCUGGGAGCUCGGUGAGGACGUGGCGGUCCCCUUGCUCAUCUGACUCCGGAGGCAGGUUCCGCAGAAAGAGCUCUCAAUCUCGGCCGCUGGGCUCCAAGAUAAUCUCCUGGCGAAA
ensembl:lncRNA novel transcript